UGUCAUCAGAUUUAUUGCAUUUCGCGAUUGAUCAAAAGCACGGAGAUGCGGCAAGAAUAAAAGAAAAGGCUGGUUGCCGAAAUUUCUCGACGUUAACAGUAUGCCCAUACACACAGUGCUUGUACAAAUAAAAAAACCUCUCCUUUCUAUUGCCCCCUCCCCCCUACAACAUAAUGUUACACGUUUUCAAGAGUGUAAGUAAUUCUUACUUUGUGUCUAAAUGUAAAACGGACAAUAAAUGUUAUCGUCAGUAGUAAUAAGGGGGCCAAAUGUCUAAUGUCGAAAAUUGGCCAAGAUUUGAAAUAAGCGCCUUUCCCCCCCUCUUCAACGCAAAAAAGAAAAUGCUAUAACUUUUUAGCUUUUGGGUAUCUCAUAUCUCUCCAAACCUUCCCUUGGCAAUGAGCUUAGCCUUCCCUAUAUGCGGCUUUGUGAGAAAAAAAUCAUCUCGUUUGAUUUAGUUGACUUAUUAAGUGGCUUUCACACCUGCCAGAAAAGCCUGGGUACAAGAGGAGAAAAUGAAGCUCUGGCAUAGUAUAGGACCCAAGGGAUGGUUUAGCGUAAUGUUUGUGACGUAGGUGACGUAACAGGUUUUCGCGCCCCAGAAAAGCCGAGUGCAAAACCACUAAAACUCACCCAACCAUAAGCAAAAAAAAAAACAAUAAUUCCAGAUCUGUAUCACAUUAAAUCGGCGAAGAAAAAUAUGGCUGUCGCAGCAUUCGGGUCCCAUCUCAGCUUUAAUAACAAGAAAGCUCUCGAAUGGGGUGCAGAGAGCCUCAGUAGUACUCCAUGUGUUAAAACGGUCAACCAACGCGUCGAACAACCUUUGCUGAGGAUGGAACGGAAGCCCUCCUAUUUUCUCCGCAAUUUCAAGCGGUUUGGAGUGGGCUUCGGCUGUAUUUUGUUUCUACUGGGGUUUGUCUCCUUAACAUUGUCUUUAGGAAUACGACAGCACUUAAAUGGCCCAGGCCUCGUGUGGCCCACGACGUCCAUAAAAAUCCACAGGAAUCACACAGAGUAUAUCUCCGCAAAGGUUCGGCUGCCCUGGGCUACAAACCACCACAACUGGCAGUACAACCUAAUGAUUGUGCGAGUUUGGGUCGGCACAUGUAUCAUCCUGGGGACUGCUAUAGCUUUAAGCAUACUCUACUCAAUUACAUUCUGUCUGUAUGAGAAAUGGAGAAAUCGCCAAGAGGCAUUGUGUCGGGAUCAGAAAGGAAGAUCGACACCACCGAAACAUGCUUUCAACUUGUCUUUUUAUCAUUUAAACAAAAUUGGGGCAUCGGACUUACUUCCGGUUUGAAUCAAAGUGGUUAGAGGGCGAUGUAUUUUAUUAUUAUACAAAAAAAACAACAAUAAUAAUGCCAUCUCCAAAAAUAACUUAUAUCUGAA